GGGUUGUGAGGUUAAGCGACUAAGCGUACACGGUGGAUGCCCUGGCAGUCAGAGGCGAUGAAGGACGUGCUAAUCUGCGAUAAGCGUCGGUAAGGUGAUAUGAACCGUUAUAACCGGCGAUUUCCGAAUGGGGAAACCCAGUGUGUUUCGACACACUAUCAUUAACUGAAUCCAUAGGUUAAUGAGGCGAACCGGGGGAACUGAAACAUCUAAGUACCCCGAGGAAAAGAAAUCAACCGAGAUUCCCCCAGUAGCGGCGAGCGAACGGGGAGCAGCCCAGAGCCUGAAUCAGUGUGUGUGUUAGUGGAAGCGUCUGGAAAGGCGCGCGAUACAGGGUGACAGCCCCGUACACAAAAAUGCACAUGCUGUGAGCUCGAUGAGUAGGGCGGGACACGUGGUAUCCUGUCUGAAUAUGGGGGGACCAUCCUCCAAGGCUAAAUACUCCUGACUGACCGAUAGUGAACCAGUACCGUGAGGGAAAGGCGAAAAGAACCCCGGCGAGGGGAGUGAAAAAGAACCUGAAACCGUGUACGUACAAGCAGUGGGAGCACGCUUCGGCGUGUGACUGCGUACCUUUUGUAUAAUGGGUCAGCGACUUAUAUUCUGUAGCAAGGUUAACCGAAUAGGGGAGCCGAAGGGAAACCGAGUCUUAACUGGGCGUUAAGUUGCAGGGUAUAGACCCGAAACCCGGUGAUCUAGCCAUGGGCAGGUUGAAGGUUGGGUAACACUAACUGGAGGACCGAACCGACUAAUGUUGAAAAAUUAGCGGAUGACUUGUGGCUGGGGGUGAAAGGCCAAUCAAACCGGGAGAUAGCUGGUUCUCCCCGAAAGCUAUUUAGGUAGCGCCUCGUGAAUUCAUCUCCGGGGGUAGAGCACUGUUUCGGCAAGGGGGUCAUCCCGACUUACCAACCCGAUGCAAACUGCGAAUACCGGAGAAUGUUAUCACGGGAGACACACGGCGGGUGCUAACGUCCGUCGUGAAGAGGGAAACAACCCAGACCGCCAGCUAAGGUCCCAAAGUCAUGGUUAAGUGGGAAACGAUGUGGGAAGGCCCAGACAGCCAGGAUGUUGGCUUAGAAGCAGCCAUCAUUUAAAGAAAGCGUAAUAGCUCACUGGUCGAGUCGGCCUGCGCGGAAGAUGUAACGGGGCUAAACCAUGCACCGAAGCUGCGGCAGCGACGCUUAUGCGUUGUUGGGUAGGGGAGCGUUCUGUAAGCCUGCGAAGGUGUGCUGUGAGGCAUGCUGGAGGUAUCAGAAGUGCGAAUGCUGACAUAAGUAACGAUAAAGCGGGUGAAAAGCCCGCUCGCCGGAAGACCAAGGGUUCCUGUCCAACGUUAAUCGGGGCAGGGUGAGUCGACCCCUAAGGCGAGGCCGAAAGGCGUAGUCGAUGGGAAACAGGUUAAUAUUCCUGUACUUGGUGUUACUGCGAAGGGGGGACGGAGAAGGCUAUGUUGGCCGGGCGACGGUUGUCCCGGUUUAAGCGUGUAGGCUGGUUUUCCAGGCAAAUCCGGAAAAUCAAGGCUGAGGCGUGAUGACGAGGCACUACGGUGCUGAAGCAACAAAUGCCCUGCUUCCAGGAAAAGCCUCUAAGCAUCAGGUAACAUCAAAUCGUACCCCAAACCGACACAGGUGGUCAGGUAGAGAAUACCAAGGCGCUUGAGAGAACUCGGGUGAAGGAACUAGGCAAAAUGGUGCCGUAACUUCGGGAGAAGGCACGCUGAUAUGUAGGUGAAGUCCCUCGCGGAUGGAGCUGAAAUCAGUCGAAGAUACCAGCUGGCUGCAACUGUUUAUUAAAAACACAGCACUGUGCAAACACGAAAGUGGACGUAUACGGUGUGACGCCUGCCCGGUGCCGGAAGGUUAAUUGAUGGGGUCAGCGCAAGCGAAGCUCUUGAUCGAAGCCCCGGUAAACGGCGGCCGUAACUAUAACGGUCCUAAGGUAGCGAAAUUCCUUGUCGGGUAAGUUCCGACCUGCACGAAUGGCGUAAUGAUGGCCAGGCUGUCUCCACCCGAGACUCAGUGAAAUUGAACUCGCUGUGAAGAUGCAGUGUACCCGCGGCAAGACGGAAAGACCCCGUGAACCUUUACUAUAGCUUGACACUGAACAUUGAGCCUUGAUGUGUAGGAUAGGUGGGAGGCUUUGAAGUGUGGACGCCAGUCUGCAUGGAGCCGACCUUGAAAUACCACCCUUUAAUGUUUGAUGUUCUAACGUUGACCCGUAAUCCGGGUUGCGGACAGUGUCUGGUGGGUAGUUUGACUGGGGCGGUCUCCUCCUAAAGAGUAACGGAGGAGCACGAAGGUUGGCUAAUCCUGGUCGGACAUCAGGAGGUUAGUGCAAUGGCAUAAGCCAGCUUGACUGCGAGCGUGACGGCGCGAGCAGGUGCGAAAGCAGGUCAUAGUGAUCCGGUGGUUCUGAAUGGAAGGGCCAUCGCUCAACGGAUAAAAGGUACUCCGGGGAUAACAGGCUGAUACCGCCCAAGAGUUCAUAUCGACGGCGGUGUUUGGCACCUCGAUGUCGGCUCAUCACAUCCUGGGGCUGAAGUAGGUCCCAAGGGUAUGGCUGUUCGCCAUUUAAAGUGGUACGCGAGCUGGGUUUAGAACGUCGUGAGACAGUUCGGUCCCUAUCUGCCGUGGGCGCUGGAGAACUGAGGGGGGCUGCUCCUAGUACGAGAGGACCGGAGUGGACGCAUCACUGGUGUUCGGGUUGUCAUGCCAAUGGCACUGCCCGGUAGCUAAAUGCGGAAGAGAUAAGUGCUGAAAGCAUCUAAGCACGAAACUUGCCCCGAGAUGAGUUCUCCCUGACUCCUUGAGAGUCCUGAAGGAACGUUGAAGACGACGACGUUGAUAGGCCGGGUGUGUAAGCGCAGCGAUGCGUUGAGCUAACCGGUACUAAUGAACCGUGAGGCUUAACCUUACAACGCCGAAG
rnacentral:rRNA from 1 species